rnacentral:antisense_RNA from 2 species
AUAGGGUAUAGAAAAGAGGCCUUUUUAAUGGCUGAUUUUUUAUAAGGGUGAGCUUCACAAUCAAACUUUGGCGAGGGAGAUUGUGGGUUUUUUUUAUUUUUUA